rnacentral:lncRNA from 1 species
GUUAAAGGGUCCUGGAAGGGAAAAGAGGUGGAAUUCCAUUGACCCUCAGUGUUAAGUGUUAAAGGGUCCUGGAAGGGAAAAGUGGAGUUCCAUUAACCCUCAGUGUUAGGGCUUGGGUUAAAGGGUCCUGGAAGGGAAAAGUGGAGUUCCAUUAACCCUUAGUGUUAAAUGUUGGGUUAAAGGGUCCUGGAAGGGAAAAGUGGAGUUCCAUUGACCUUAACUGUUAGUUAUAGGCUUAAAGGGUCCUGGAAGGGAAAAGAGGUGGAGUCCCAUUGGCCCUCAGUGUUAAGUGUUAAAGGGUCCUGGAAGGGAAAAGUGGAGUUCC